rnacentral:rRNA from 1 species
AUUGAACGCUGGCGGCAUGCCUUACACAUGCAAGUCGAACGGUAACGGGUCCUUCGGGAUGCCGACGAGUGGCGAACGGGUGAGUAAUAUAUCGGAACGUGCCCAGUAGUGGGGGAUAACUGCUCGAAAGAGCAGCUAAUACCGCAUACGACCUGAGGGUGAAAGGGGGGGAUCGCAAGACCUCUCGCUAUUGGAGCGGCCGAUAUCAGAUUAGCUAGUUGGUGGGGUAAAGGCCUACCAAGGCAACGAUCUGUAGUUGGUCUGAGAGGACGACCAGCCACACUGGGACUGAGACACGGCCCAGACUCCUACGGGAGGCAGCAGUGGGGAAUUUUGGACAAUGGGCGCAAGCCUGAUCCAGCAAUGCCGCGUGCAGGAAGAAGGCCUCGG